rnacentral:lncRNA from 1 species
CAGGAGGAAAGUGGCUGUUACAUAAAACCUUGCUUAAAGUUUUUAUCCUGUUUGGGGUUUUCAGCAGUUCAGGGUUCUCUAACAAAAUAAUCUGGCCUGCUGGGAGGUAUUUGUGAAGGACAGGAACAGACCGGGUCAGAAGAAAGGAUGGCCUGGAGGGAAUUCUAUGGGACUCUGUCUUGGGUGACAGAAGAUGUCUGCCUUGGAUCCAAAGGAGAAGAAAAGAAGUCUCAUUUCCUCCCUUCCCCAACACUCCUGGCCUCCCAUGAAGAAAUGAUCUGUAUGUGACUCUUGGUAGCGAUAAAUCUUUGUGUUUUAAUAAGGCCAAAAAGGUUGAGGAGUGGGAAAUAGAAGUUAUUUAUUGGAGAUUGUAUUGAUAAUUCAUUCCUGUUUUAGACCAAAGAAGGAAAAUGAUAAAAGAAGUUAAACCACCACCACCACCAUCACCAAUGAGGGUGGCAUCAACAAAGCCACUGGGGGAUACGGGGGUGGGGGGAAGAUGUACUGAAAAGCUCAAAUGAAGACAGAAUGUAUGUGAAUAUAAACUUAAAAAAAACAGCUUUAAACAACGUGGUAUGAGAGGAGAUGGGAAGAGAUAUAAAAAUAAACGGCAUUAAGUUAAAGGGGGUAAUUAUAGGAGCCAAAAUAAGAGGUGAAUUUUGCAAAGGAUCCAGCUAACUUUAGAGACUCCUUCAAACAUUUCCUUUUAGGAGACUGUGGGACUUUAAAUCUUUCAGGAUUUAACAAGAUCCUAAAUGCAUAUGUCUUAAAUAUAUGCAAACACACUUUUAAAAUGUUUUUUCCUGUGGAAAGAGUCAAGACGAGGAGAUGUGUUCCUGGCUAUCAUUUGGAGAAUAGUUUCUAGUAUGUGUUAUUUUGCCGUUAAAAGCUCCGGAGAACAGUCAGCAAAUAGAAAAUGGUCUACAGAAAUAACAUGGCUUCCUGGAACGUAAGGGGAAGGAAAUGGGUGGUUUCUUUAAUUACUAUAGUGUGUGUGUGUGUGUUUGUGUGUGUAUGUGUGUGUGUUAUAACUAAAGAUAGACAUGUGGCCAAUGUCCUCAGAAGGAAAGGUGAAUUUGGAAAUUAAUGAAUUCAGACACUAUUGUGUUGAAUUUACUUGGUCCUAAUAAGACAAUACCUCUCUUUUGUUUUUAGUAUCCUAGCUAGAUCAGAGUGGCCUGAAAUUUGUUCUCUGAUAUUUAAUCAGUUUAAAUUCAAGGGCAUUAUUAUUUACAUAUGGAGGGCUAACGACUUUAACUAGGCAAGAAAGCUUAUUUACAACAAAGAUGUGAUUGAGGAUGGUAAUAGGAGUGUUGAAAGGGCCAUAAUUAAUUGAUUUGCUAAUUAUUCUUUUCUGCUGGGUGCUAAAGUACUUUUACUAAUGAGCAGCAGAAGCCAGGAUGUUGCAGUGAGCUAUUUUGACAUAGUAUAAGCAACAGUUUCCAGGCCAUUUUAAGGUGUUUUGGGGUCCUUUUAUGCUGACGUUGUAGACAUUAUAAAUUUGGAGAACUGAAUAUCUUCCUAUAUGGGGAUUUAUUUAUCAGCUAUGUGUCUUAGAUCAAGUCGGUGCUUAAAAGGCAUUUAAUAAAACUGAAAGUAAAUUAGAUGACAGCUUUGAAAUUAGAUAAAAAUUAAAAAUAUGUCCACAGCAGUGCCAUGUAUUUCUUGCUUCAGGGUUCUUCAAGGCAUUGACUAGUAAUAGAUAAUCGAUGCUCCUUGGUGUGGGAAGUGCUGGGGAAUGUCUGGAAGGCUCACUCAUUGGGUUCAACUUUUUUGUUAGGCUUGUAUUUCUUUUGUAUUUGAAGUCAUGAUACUGAAGAAAUUUUAAAAGUCCCUAGGAUCUUCUGUGUCUAUGUGAUAAGUGCAAACUCACUUUUAUUUCAAUGUGUUCCCCUCUCAUAAUUCCUUGAUUGGAACCCUUGACGGUAUCAGUUUGGGAGCCCUGGGUAGUUGCUUUCACAGGAUGCUUUCUCCAGACUCUUGCUCAGGCUGUGCCUCCUGCCUAGCAUGUUAUCUCUUGCUGAUGUUCAUCUUCUUUCCAUCUCAAUUUUGCCCUGGUUCUUCACUGAUUGAAAGGAGGUGGUGAUUGGCAGGUGUGGCUAACAUUUAUUAAACAUAUAUCAUACAUGAGGCUCUGUGCUGGCAAUUUAUGUGCAUUAUUUAAUAAUACCCCCAUUUUACAGUGGAGAAACAGAGGCUUAGAGAAUGCCUGGGCUCACAACUAGCAAGUGACACAAACUCAGAAUAUGAAUCUAGGUCUGUACUUCAUCUUGCCUUGAAUUGUUUCUUAGCUGUUGCAUGUGCUAAGGCCUAGUUCCCUCACCAGAUGGUCAGCUGAUAGAGGGCAGGGCCCUUAUCUUUUAGUUUGCCUAGAGCACGCCCUCAAUACUUACAGCCUUCUGUUGAAAUAAAAGUAAAAUGUUAAAGCAUUUAUAAGUAGGCUAAACAUUGGAAAGAAGAAACCUAGGAAACGAGUUUCUCAAAAUUGCUACACGAACAUUAUAGGAUGCUGUGGUUCUUUUUCUAUAGUACUAAGAAUUGAACUAAGGGCCUCAAAUGCAUGUUAGGCAAGUUCUCUACCACUGAGCUACAUGCCCAGCCCUGUCCUAGGACACAGGGGUUCUUACUGCGGCCAGUGCAGCCCCACAAGUGUCUGGAGGAUUGGAGGGGUUUUCCAAGGUUGUCAGGGUAUUGGCAGUAUCUGGCACUUUUGUGGGUGAUAGACAAACAUUUAACAUCAUGCAGGACAUGGUGCAGUCCCACAAAAUUGGCAGAUCCAAAAUGCCAAUAGGACCUCUGCUGAGAAGCAACACUGGCUUAGUAGCCUGGUAGUGGAAAAUGUGAACCCAGAAACUAGAUUGAGUUCCAACCUAGGUCCACCUUUUACAAGUUGUGUGGUUCCUAGCACAUUAACUAUAUGUCCUGUCUACCCCUGGCACACAGUUAGUGCCCAAUAAUGUCAGCUCUUACUCAUCAGCUUCUAGAAAAUUGUCCCCAGUAAUGAGGCAUGAUCUUUGAUGAGUUAUAACAUUUACUAAACCAAUAGUAGCAGGUUAAGAUUCAAGAUGCAUUCUAAAAUGAUCCUUCUCAAACUUCAGUGUGCUCACACAUCUUCUGGAAAUCUUGUUAAAAUGCAGAUUUUCACUAAUGGGAUCUGGGAGGAGGUGGAGGGUUUGCAGGUAUUGUUUAUGGGCCACCCAUUGAGUAGCAAGGUUCUAACGUAUCUUGGGGGAGAAGCUAACUUAAUAAAUCAAACAAUCACACAUUUAUUGCAUUUCUAUAUAAACCUGAAAUUAUAGAGAAGGGGUGAUGGAGGUUGCAUAUAAGGAAUAUAGAAUUUGGUUCCGUCACAGAAGGAGCUCCAUCUGUUUUGCCACUUUUAACAGAGAGAGAGAGAGAGAGAGAGAGAGAGAGAGAGAGAGAGAGAGAGAGAGAGGACUUAUUUUCCAUAGAUAACUAUAUUUCUCAGGGGAAAAAGGCAGAGAAAUAUUUCUAAUAUGUAUUUCCUUAAAUUAAAAAAAAAAGUCCUCUGGGGCUCCCUCAGUCAUUUUAGAGGAGCUAUUAUAACUAAGAAAGAAAAAACUUGGCCACUGUUCUUGGAUGCAGGGGUAAGUCUUGUAUACUGUAGAGCUAGUAUGAACUGUGUGUCUGAUGUCUCUGGGUAUGCUGUUGCAUAUAUGUGUGUGUGAGCUGGAAAGGAUGUCAGCCAUUGCUAGGCAAUUGCCUUCUUAAAUAUCAGUGGAGAUGAAAAAUCUUGUAUUUUCCUCAUAAAGACUAAAGUCCUAAGUUAGGGAGCAGGGGCAAGGGUUCUUCAGACAGUCUUGACUGAGAACAUUGCAUAUUAUAGGCAGAAGAUGUUAUUUGAAUAUAGUUAUUGAGAAGAGACUACUCAUUAUCCUCUUAAAAUACUUCCUGCUGCAACGUGGUGUUGUAUGGAAGCCAAAGCAAUUGGCUCUGUAUUUGGCCAGCUGAUUUAGCAAGAAAUUUUGCAAAUUAUGCAGGCCUUACAGAUGGUGCUGUUGGGUUUGUGAGAAUGUUUUAAAACUGGUCCACUUGACCAUGAGCUGAAUUUUCAGCCUCUUAGACCUACCCCCAGCCAAUCCUGGACUCUGAAUAGGCAGCUGGAGACAAGGUUCCUGCAAACUUAUGAUAAAUGAUUUCCUUUCAAAGUCAUGUCUAUGAAAAUAACUUGGUGGUAAACUUGGCCAAGGGGAACUCCUGGAACUUUUCGGAUAUCUCUGCUUAUCUUUGAGUUGCUUGAGUCACAUUUUUAACAUGGUUCUUGAUUGACUUUCUGGUGCUCUGCCUGGUGGUCAAGGAAGAGCCAGAAUCUCUAGGAGGGAUGAUGAGAACCCUCUGCCAGUGUAAAGUAUAAAUCUUUGAGAGGCUCUGACAAGGGUCUAUGCCUGAAUGUGCAGAGAGAGAGAACAGCUGGAGGCUCUGGCUUUUUCCAGGAAUACAUUUCUAAAUUUGCCUCUUAAAAGCUAUCAGAGAGAGUUCGGUGUAUUGUAUCAUCCUCACAGGCCCAAUUCUUGCUCAGACUUGCAGGGGGGCCUGGUUCUGAUCUUUGCCAUUGACUGCUUACUUGUUUUCUUGAUUUCUAUUCGAAUCAUCACCUUUUGUCUGUCUUCCUCAGUGCCCUUUGGUUGUGCUUGUUUUGGGUUUACGUAAGCAGCAUCUCUGGAUGCAUGAAUGAAGCAGAUAAAAUUCCCCAGGGUGACUGAUCUGCCCUUCAUCUAUUUUUAGGAUUGCAAAGAAUUUACCAUAGCCCACAGCAUAACUCCAUCACUGUAAACCAGUGAGUACAUUUCGGAGGUAUUUUUUUUAAAAAAAACCUUUCCCUGAGGCAUUUGUUACAGGCUUAUCUUAAAGACACAUGAUUCAAUUAUUGAUUAUUCAAGACACGUCAUACUUAGGUUUUUAUAAACACCAGGUUGGCACUGUCACCCAGACUUCAGCUCUGGCUCCUAAUUUUGUGCUGGAAGCUACACAAAGCCUAUUGUAUCCUGUGUGUGUGGCUCUGGCAAUGCAGAAAUAGCAACAAGGAAGUACCUAGGACCCACUAAAGGACUGAUGACAGCAAUUUGCUCUCUGAGGGGAUCUUUCUAAGGAGAACCCUUGGCGUAUAGCUUGAACGGUUUGACCCUUACACAGCCUCCAACUCUUCCAUCCCUAGUUACCCUCCCUAAGAUGAGGACAAAAUGCCUUACUUUCCCUCUUCUGUACUCUGUUUGUGUUUGCCCUAAAUUCUGUUUUGGCACUAAUACUCAAUAUGACAGUGUUAAGAGGUGGGGUGUUUUUGAGAAGUAAUGAAGUCAAGAGGGCAGCCCUCACGAAUGGGAUUAGUGCCCUUAACAGAGGAGGUCAUAGUGAGCUGCCCUGCUUUUUCCACAUUGUGGGGAUCACGUCAAGAUGGUGUGUCCCUCUUGAAAUGGAGUAUAACCCUUUGCCACACACCCAAACUGCUGGGACCCUGAUCUUAAGAUUCCCCAGCCUCCAGAACUAUGAGCAACCAAUUUCUAUUAUUUGUAAAUUAUCCAGUUUUAGAUAUUUUGUUAUAGCAGCAGUACCCCCAGACUUUAGCAUAGGGGCUUGAGCUUAUCAGAUGAGUUAGAAGGAGGCCUCACUCAUUUGUUUAUUGAUUUUUUUAUUAUUAGUUGUUCAAAACAUUACAUAGCUCUUGACAUAUCAUAUUUCAUACAUUUGAUUCAAGUGGGUUAUGAACUCCCAUUUUUCCCCGUAUACAGAUUGCAGAAUCACAUCGGUUACACAUCCACGUUUUUACAUACUGCCAUACUAGCGUCUGUUGUAUUCUGCUGCCUUUCCUAUCCUCUACUAUCCCCCAUUUGUUUAUUGAUUGAGUAAUGAACACAAACAUUCUAGCUCAUGGGGCUUCUUAACUUUGAUAGGAAUGCAUGCUUUCACUUACCAUUUUCCAAAAAUGUUCCCCUAUCCCUCUACUUCUUUUUUUGGCGAUUGAACCUAGGGGCGCUUAACCACUGGGCCAUAUCCCCAGCUCAUUUUUUAUAUUUUAUUUAGAGAGAGGAUCUUGCUGAGUUGCUUAAGGCCUCCCUAAGUUGCUGAGGCUGGCUUUGAACUUGAGCUCCUCCUGCCUCACUCAGCCUCCCAAGGAUUACAGGUAUGGACCACUGCGCCUGGCUUAUUCCUCUACUUCUUGGGAGUGUGUUUCUCUGUGAUUGUCAGCUCUAUUCAGAUUUGCUCAUUUCUGUUGUUUCUGCAGAAUCAUCACUACUUCUGCUAGCAAAGUGACCCCUAUCACUUCUGAAUAUCAUUUGUUUCUGUUAUCAGUUUCUUUCACUUGGGGUCAAACUGGAGGUCAAGGUCAUGUUCCCUGAUGUGACUUGUGAGGGUUUUGUGGUGUGUCCACUUGAUGAGGCUAAAUGAUACCUCUCUGAAUUCAAUUUCUAAUAUGUUUCUGGCGAGGAUGGUCAUCCAGCAGAUUCUCUUGCAAAAAUUAGAGGAUGGAAUGGGUUUGGUGGUACAUGCCAAUAAUCUCAGCUACUCUGGAGGCUGAGGUGGGAGAAUCCUGAAUUUAAAGCCAGCCUCAGCAAUUUAGCAAGGCCUUAAGCAACUAAACAAGACCCUGUCAUGAAAUAAAGAAAUAAAAAUUUAAAAAUAUAUAAAUAAAAUACAAAUAAAAAAGAACCAUUGACGUGGCUCAGUGGUUAAACACCCAGGGUUCAAUCUCUGGUAAAACAAUACCAAAAAAAAAUUAGAGGAUGCAAGGGAGCAUACAAAAUAUGCUAUUAUUGUAGCAUACACACAAUUACCAAUUAUUUAAUUAAAUACAAAUCUAGGUGUUGCUGUGAAGGUAUUUUAAGGCUGUUUACAGUCUCUAAUCAGUUGACUUUAGUCCAAAAGGGUAACUUAAUCAGUCUUUUAUAAAAAGAGAGUCUAGACCCUCCCCCAUGUCAGAGACUCCAAGCGACAGAGAAGGGAAGUUGGAGAGGCUUUCUACAUUCUGGGACAUCCACACUGUGUUGUCAUUGCUGAUCUACUGAUUCAUCCUGAUAGUGUGAAGCAGCAGCUGGGCCGAGAGUUGCUUUCCUUUCCAGCUGGAUCUACCUCCAUCUCCACUGACUCUAGGGCCAAGAGUGUGUAUGUUCGGCUCCAGGAUGAAGAGCUCUGGCUUCUGUAGGAUACCCUCAUCACCAGCUUCAUCUUCAUGGGAUUCCAGCCAGCUGUGAUCCUCCCUUCUGACUGGCUGCCCUAUGGGUGUCAGUCCUGCUUGGCCAGUUCCUACCUAAAGUCGUCAUAAGAAAAAUGGAUUUUUUUUUUUUUUUUAAAAAGCUCCUACUGACUUUACUCCUCUGGUUGCACCCUGAUGGAUACAUAAAGAAGCAAUUGUUUGAAGCAUCCGGGUUUCCAACUGCCUUCCAUGUCACAGAGUUAGAGAAACCUAGAUGGCCAAUGACAUUUUCAUUUGUUCAUUUAUAACUGUGCUAGGUUAUGAAUGGCUAGCUUGUUCCUGGCAAUAAGCAAGGUAAGCACGGACCCUGCUCUCCUCCCCUUGGAGAUUGGAUCUUUUAGCAUGAAAGCAGAUUCUUACAAGGAUAAGAAGAUUGGCAUGGAAUCAUUAGAAGGUAUACCUGGGAGAACCAACCUACACGGAGGUGCCAGAGAAAGCAAAUUACAAGCCCGGAAGGAUGUAUGAGGGAGAUGACAAUGGUGACAGGUAGUUCUACAGAGCUGGAAAAGGUAGAAGAAGGGAUGAGGCUUGGGAGGUAAGCCACAGGGGGCUAUGCAAGCCAAGAUGAUGAUGUCAAGGGACGAAUAUUUUUGUUUAAAAUAAUCUGCAUGCUUCCAAACUCUUUUUUUUUUUUUUUUUGGUUCUCUAGUAUCCCAGCGUAACUGCAUUUCGAGCCUGUCGAGAUCCCACGGCAUUGGUGGGUGUGUUUCUGCCGUUGCUCUUGUUUCUUCCAGCUCUUUCCUGCAGUCCUCCUGAGUACUCCACCAAGCUCUCUCUGUGCAAGCCUCACUUGACUACUGUCGUCCUAUUUUUAACCCACUCUCCUGCCCUGGGCUUUGAAUUCUCACAUGUUGAGAGAAAAAGAAAACAAAACCUGGACUCUUUGCAUUAAUUUUCCUGACAGUUUCCUUGUCUCAACGUUUAUUUUCUGUUUUAUGAAAACUCAUAGAGAAGGCUCCUGGAGGCUGGGAGGUCCCCCAGCCUCAUUAUUCCUGGCCUUCUGUCACCCCCUGAGGAGCCUGAGCUCAACCUUUGCUCCGGCCUGCCAAGCUCCCUGGUGCUGUGCGGAUGUUCUUCACAGAGCCACAUGGUGUCCUUGAAAAGUGGGCAGUAAACACCAUCAAUUCCAUUGGCAAGAGAGGGAAGUUGGACUGGAGACGCUAGAAGGUUUGUGACUCAACUGAUCACAGAUAGGGGUCAAGUUGGAUGGUGUGAGUUCAAGUUCAGCUUCUGCCUUUCUUGGCUUUCGUUUGUCUCUCAAGUUCUAGGGUGCAGGUCUCCCUGCAAACGUCUCUGGGAAAACAGCUGGGUAGAGGGGUUGAGCUGGAUUUGAAAGCCAGACUCACCUGGACUGAGAGUCAGGUUUCACCAUAGCCUCAUUCUUUAUCUGUGAAAUGGGAAUGGUAUUUCCCACCUGUCAGAUGACAAGAGCCAAGUAGCCAGAGUGGUGCCAGGAGCAUAGAAGGGGCUCAGUGCAUUUUGGUUGCCAAUCAGAACAAGGUGACUUUGGAGGUGCAGGGAGAGGGCCCAACUGCCAUUUACUCAACAGCUUCUCCACCCCCUUUGUAACCAUUUUCAUUCACUGGGAGUAAGAAGCAUCUUUUGCUUUAAGGGCAGUACCUGGUCACCCAAAGCCCACAAAGAAGUCACCAUAUCUGGGCAGGUUCUCAGGCUGUGAGGACACUUAUAGAACUUGCCCAGAUUCAUUGAAAAAUAAAUUGAAAUGAAAAGUUUUAGAAAUAUAUAGUCAUGACAACAUGGAGUAAUAAUCAAUGCCACUGAAUGUACACUUAAAAAGGGUCAAAUGGUAAGUUUUAUGUUAUCUUUAUUUUACAAUUAAAAAUGUGCAUUGAGAGAGGCCUACUAGCUGUAUCUAAAUGCCCCUUCCUCCCACUCCCAAAUAUAGGCUAGCUCAGAAAUACUGUGACCCACUUAAGAACUGUAUGGGGACUAUUGUUGCUAACCGAUUUCAGAAGGUGAGUUAGAAGAAUUUGUGUCUAACCUCCUCAUUUUGCAGAUGGUAAAAUCUGGUCCUUGUUGCUAAGAAUCCAGGUGCUCAGAGUCGCAAAUAUUCAAGGCAGGACCAGUGCUCUGUGUGCUCCAGUCACAGCCGAUUUGGCGAGGACAGCGAGUGAUAUCUGAUAUUCACUCAAUCACCUCUGAACUUCACUAUCAACCCUCAAACUGGCCUUUUUCUUCUGUUAGGGACUUUGCCUAUGGUGUUCCCUCUACCUUGAAUCUUCUUCCUGACUUUGAUAAUUUCUGUCCAUCUCUUCAGGUUUCAGGUGAAGCAUCACUUCAUUCAGAAAGCUUUCCUGCCCUCUCAGGCUGUGUUAGCUCAGCUUGUUUGCUGAUUCUUAGAACAGGCACUUCUCAUCACACUUGUGGUUACUUAUGUCUCUGUUCCAUGAAUGGGGGCAGAAGCUCCAUCUAUCGUAUCCACCACUGUUUCCCAAGAACUUAGCAAAGUUCAUUAAAAAAAAAAAAUUAAAAAUUAACCCUGUCUUCUCAUGAGGGGGAGAAUGAGGAUGCUAAGGUACCCUUACUUGUACUUGUUGGGUGCAGAGAAGGCUGAACUGUGUUGUCUGCAGGGCAGGCUGAACAGAUGUUGGCUGCAAGAUAGCCCACGCACUCAAACCCCCCUCUAUCUGGUCCUUUAUCACCUGUUUGCCUCAAGUCUGAACAUUCAACCCUGCUCAAGGCUGAACACUUAACCCCACCUUGGGCCAACAAGGCAGCUUGCAGACUCAGAGGCCCCAUUAGAUUUGGGCUAUAAAAACUCCCUCCUGCCAGGCCCCCCUCUCUCUUGCUAUCUCUCUUGCUUUCUCUGUCUCUCUCUUGCGCUCUCUCUCUCCUCUUUCUCUCUUUUCUCUUCUGUUGCACUGCUACAAUAAAGAUCUCUUGGUUGCUCUGAGUGUUGUGGUCACUUUUCUUUCAGUACUGAC